rnacentral:misc_RNA from 1 species
GAAAUGCGAUAAGUAGUGUGAAUUGCAGAAUUCAGUGAAUCAUCGAAUCUUUGAACGCACAUUGCGCCCCUUGGUAUUCCAUGGGGCAUGCCUGUUCGAGCGUCAUCUACACCCUCAAGCUCUGCUUGGUGUUGGGCGUCUUUGUCCCGCCUCCGCGCGCGGACUCGCCCCAAAUUCAUUGGCAGCGGUCCUUGCCUCCUCUCGCGCAGCACAUUGCGCUUCUCGAGGUGUUGCGUCCCGCGUCCAGAAAGCAAUCGUUACCGUCUUUGACCUCGGAUCAGGUAGGGAUACCCGCUGAACUUAAGC